ACUUCCCCGCCGGAAGACCAAGGUUUCCUGUCCCAUGCUAAUCAGGGCAGGGUGAGUCGGCCCCUAAGGCGAGGCAGAAAUGCGUAGUCGAUGGGAAACAGGUUAAUAUUCCUGUACUUAUGUAUAUUGCGAUGGAGAGACGGAGAAGGCUAGGCUAGCACGGCGAUGGUUGUCCGUGUUUAAGGUGGUAGGUUGAGAGCUUAGGUAAAUCCGGGCCCUCUUAAGACCGAGAACUGAUGACGAGUCCUCUUUUGGACGAAGUAGUUGAUGCCAUGCUUCCAGGAAAAACUUCUAAGCUUCAGAUAUACAUGAACCGUACCCCAAACCGACACAGGUGGUCAGGUAGAGAAUACCAAGGCGCUUGAGAGAACUCGGGUGAAGGAACUAGGCAAAAUGGCACCGUAACUUCGGGAGAAGGUGCGCCGGUUAGUGUGAAGGAUUUACUCCGUAAGCAUUGAUCGGUCGAAGAUACCAGGUGGCUGCGACUGUUUAUUAAAAACACAGCACUCUGCAAACACGAAAGUGGACGUAUAGGGUGUGACGCCUGCCCGGUGCUGGAAGGUUAAUUGAUGGGGUUAGCGUAAGCGAAGCUCUUGAUCGAAGCCCCAGUAAACGGCGGCCGUAACUAUAACGGUCCUAAGGUAGCGAAAUUCCUUGUCGGGUAAGUUCCGACCUGCACGAAUGGCGUAACGAUGGCCACACUGUCUCCACCCGAGACUCAGUGAAAUUGAAAUCGCAGUGAAGAUGCUGUGUAUCCGCGGCUAGACGGAAAGACCCCGUGAACCUUUACUAUAGCUUCACAGUGAACUUUGAACCUACUUGUGUAGGAUAGGUGGGAGGCUUUGAAACUAGGACGCCAGUUCUAGUGGAGCCAAACUUGAAAUACCACCCUGGUAUGUUUGAGGUUCUAACUCAGGUCCCUUAUCGGGAUCGAGGACACUGUGUGGUGGGUAGUUUGACUGGGGCGGUCUCCUCCCAAAGAGUAACGGAGGAGCACGAAGGUGUGCUCAGCAUGGUCGGAAAUCAUGCGUAGAGUGUAAAGGCAAAAGCGCGCUUAACUGCGAGACAGACACGUCGAGCAGGUACGAAAGUAGGUCUUAGUGAUCCGGUGGUUCUGUAUGGAAGGGCCAUCGCUCAACGGAUAAAAGGUACUCCGGGGAUAACAGGCUGAUACCGCCCAAGAGUUCACAUCGACGGCGGUGUUUGGCACCUCGAUGUCGGCUCAUCACAUCCUGGGGCUGAAGCCGGUCCCAAGGGUAUGGCUGUUCGCCAUUUAAAGUGGUACGCGAGCUGGGUUUAGAACGUCGUGAGACAGUUCGGUCCCUAUCUGCCGUGGACGUUUGAGAUUUGAGAGGAGCUGCUCCUAGUACGAGAGGACCGGAGUGGACGAACCUCUGGUGUUCCGGUUGUCACGCCAGUGGCAUUGCCGGGUAGCUAUGUUCGGACGGGAUAACCGCUGAAAGCAUCUAAGCGGGAAGCCUCCCUCAAGAUGAGAUCUCACUGGGACAUAAGUCCCCUAAAGAGCCGUUGAAGACUACGACGUUGAUAGGUUGGGUGUGUAAGUGCUGUGAGGCAUUGAGCUAACCAAUACUAAUUGCUCGUGAGGCUUGACCAU
rnacentral:rRNA from 1 species